rnacentral:ncRNA from 1 species
AGAAACGUUAUGAACAGUAGAGUAGGAACCGGAUAUAGCUACAGAGAGCUCCUGGGUGGUGUGAAGGAGUGGUUGAAAGUUCUGAAGAUGGACUGGGAAUGGUGUUGACGAUAUUUAGUCAACAACGGGUUUGCACACGUUACUAGUGCAAGGUAUUUCCUCAGGAGACGUCCCGGGGAGAAACCUAGAGAGGCUGGGCUCUGUGAGGGGCUCGGUGAAGUAAGGUGGCAUCACGAGCAAUCGUCCUUUAU